AUUGAACGCUGGCGGCAGGCCUAACACAUGCAAGUCGAGCGAGCGGCGGACGGGUGAGUAAUGUAUGGGGACUGCCCGAUAGAGGGGGAUAACUACUGGAAACGGUGGCUAAUACCGCAUACUAUCGGAUAACCCAUAUGGGAUUAGCUAGUAGGUGGGGUAAAGGCUCACAUAGGCGACGAUCUCUAGCUGGUCUGAGAGGAUGAACAUCCACACUGGGACUGAGACACGGUCCAGACUCCUACGGAUGCAGCAGUGGGGAAUAUUGCACAAUGGGCGCAAGCCUGAUGCAGCCAUGCCGCGUGUAUGAAGAAGGCCUUCGGGUUUUAAAGUACUUUCAGCGGGGAGGCGUGACCCGCAGAAUAAGCACCGGCUAACUCCGUGCCAGCAGCCGCGGUAAUAC
rnacentral:rRNA from 1 species